rnacentral:tRNA from 1 species
CGCGGGGGAGCGUUGGGACUCAGCCGGUCCUCAUGAGGCUGGAGCGCCCGGAUCAUCACCGGGAUCCGCGACC